rnacentral:rRNA from 1 species
AGCUCCAAUCGCGUAUAUUAAAGGUUGUUGCGGUUAAGAAGCUCGUAGUUGGAUUUCUGUUGGGAACGACCGGUCUGCCCAUUGGGUGUAUAUCCGGCUUGUUCUCGGCAUCUUCUUGGUGAACGUUGCUGCACUUGACUGCGUGGAGCGCUACCCAGGACUUUUACUUUGAGGAAAUUAAACUGUUUCAAGCAGGCAUAUGCCUUGAAUACGUUAGCAUGGAAUAAUGAGAUAGGACCUCGGCUCUAUUUUGUUGGUUUCUAAAGCUGAGGUAAUGAUUAAGAAGAAUACUAGGGGGCAUUCGUAUUUAACUGUCGGUAAUGAAUUUCUUGGAUUUGGUAAAGACGGACUACGGCGAAAGCAUUUGCCAAGGAUGUUC